rnacentral:rRNA from 1 species
GACGAACGCUGGCGGCGUGCUUAACACAUGCAAGUCGAACGGUAAGGCCCUUCGGGGUACACGAGUGGCGAACGGGUGAGUAACACGUGGGUGAUCUGCCCUGCACUUCGGGAUAAGCCUGGGAAACUGGGUCUAAUACCGGAUAGGACCACUGCCUGCAUGGGUGGUGGUGGAAAGCUUUUGCGGUGUGGGAUGGGCCCGCGGCCUAUCAGCUUGUUGGUGGGGUGAUGGCCUACCAAGGCGACGACGGGUAGCCGGCCUGAGAGGGUGACCGGCCACCCUGGGACUGGGAUACGGCCCAGACGCCUACGGGAGGCAGCGGUGGGGAAUAUUGCACACUGGGCGCGAGCCUGAUGCAGCGACGCCGCGUGAGGGAUGACGGCAUUCGGGUUGUAAACCUCUUUCAGCACCGACGAAGCGCAAGUGACGGUAGGUGCAGAAGAAGGACCGGCCAACUACGUGCCAGCAGCCGCUGUAA